GGCGGGGCCGGGAGGGGCCGCCAGGCACUCUACCCCCUGGGGUUAGCAUAGCUUUUGUACUGCUGCUGAGCCACUAGGUCGUCACGUGAGACUCUUCUCCAAGCUUGCCUUAUUACCACACCCUACAAGCCCAGAGCCAAGAGACCUCUCCAGUUUCUUACAGCCGGUUCUCACAUUGAUUCCUCCCAGGUUUUGUUCUAUUCCCUCCAGGCCCCUCUCCAAAGUGCCACACCCUAAUUAUCAAUCUUUUGGACACCUACCUUGAAAGCCUUAUGGAUGACUCCGGGUUCUACUUGCCCUGACCUUACUUUCCAGCCAAAGCUACUCCUAAACUAGCAAUGGCUCCGCGGGCCCUAGGAGACCCAAGUUCAAACACUAGGGCCAAUUUGAUGCCUUCCUUACUCUCACACCUUAAUCCUAUCAUUCCUGACCCCUAAAUAUCUUCCCACCCAUCCAUUUGCCAAUGCCAAACUCCAAGCCUCUCCAGCUCCCUAUUGCCAAAUUACACUUAGUCCCAACCAAUUAUUCUUCCUUUACAGACAGUUAGAAUGAGCCUUCUAAUACUCAAAUUUCUGAUCUGAAGGGUUCAUUAGCUCCUUACUAACCACCACUUUAAAUUUACAAUUACAUUGGCCUCUUAGUGAUAAGUGAUGUUAGCUGGCACCUGAAGUCAAAGAGAGAUAAAAGAUAGAAGAAAAGCCUGAGAAUGCUGUCUCCGGAAAGAAAGGCAUGCUGGCAGACCUGAAGCCACAUCUGAGGUAUACACAUGGUGCACAUCAUUGAUGGCAGAAAGAAGAAGAAGAAGAAGAAGAAGAAGAAGAAGAAGAAGAAGAAGAAGAAGAAGAAGAAGAAGAAGAAGAAGAAGAAGAAGAAGAAGAAGAAGAAGAAGAAGAGGAAGAAGGGAAGAAGGUGGGGGAGGAAAGGACAUGUCUUCCUGUGAGAAAGGAGCCUGCCCCACAUGUGGCUCAUACAUAUACAGACACCAAGCUGUCAAACUGCAAAGAAGUGCAGGCUGACAGGAACCGGAUGUAGAUCUCUCCUGAGAGACACAGCCAGAAUACAGCAAAUACAGAGGCGAAUGCCAGCAGCAAACCACUGAACUGAGAACGGGACCCCCGUUGAAGGAAUCAGAGAAAGAACUGGAAGAGCUUGAAGGGGCUCGAGAUCCCAUAUGAACAACAACGCCAACCAACCAGAGCUUCCGGGGACUAAGUCACUACCCAAAGACUAUACAUGGACUGACCCUGGACUCUGACCUCAUAGAUAGCAAUGAAUAGCCUUAAGAGCAUCAGUGGAAGGGGAAGCCCUGGGUCCUGCUAAGACUGAACCCCCAGUGAACGGGAUUGUUGGGGGGAGAGUGGUAAUGGGGGGAGGAUGA